CCUACGGGAGGCAGCAGUGAGGAAUAUUGGUCAAUGGACGAGAGUCUGAACCAGCCAAGUAGCGUGAAGGAUGACUGCCCUAUGGGUUGUAAACUUCUUUUAUAUGGGAAUAAAAUGUUCCACGUGUGGGAUUUUGUAUGUACCAUAUGAAUAAGGAUCGGCUAACUCCGUGCCAGCAGCCGCGGUAAUACGGAGGAUCCGAGCGUUAUCCGGAUUUAUUGGGUUUAAAGGGAGCGUAGGUGGAUUGUUAAGUCAGUUGUGAAAGUUUGCGGCUCAACCGUAAAAUUGCAGUUGAAACUGGCAGUCUUGAGUACAGUAGAGGUGGGCGGAAUUCGUGGUGUAGCGGUGGAAUGCUUAGAUAUCACGAAGAACUCCGAUUGCGAAGGCAGCUCACUGGACUGCAACUGACACUGAGGCUCGAAAGUGUGGGUAUCAAACAGGAUUAGAUACCCUAGUAGUC
rnacentral:rRNA from 1 species